rnacentral:rRNA from 1 species
ACACGGGGGGCGCAAGCGUUAUUCGGAAUUAUUGGGCGUAAAGGGCGCGUAGGCGGUUUUGUCGGUCAGAUGUGAAAGCCCGGGGCUCAACCCCGGACGUGCAUUUGAAACAGCAAGACUUGAGUACGGGAGAGGAAAGCGGAAUUCCUGGUGUAGAGGUGAAAUUCGUAGAUAUCAGGAGGAACACCGAUGGCGAAGGCAGCUUUCUGGACCGAUACUGACGCUGAGGCGCGAAGGCGUGGGUAGCGAACAGGAUUAGAAACCCUAGUAGUCC